rnacentral:tRNA from 3 species
CCUUCGAUAGCUCAGCUGGUAGAGCGGAGGACUGUAGAUCCUUAGGUCGCUGGUUCGAAUCCGGCUCGGAGGA